GUUAACACCACAACUAGCUGUUUGCUGUACGGUUUAACCAGUUUAUUUUUUCUCCACCGACCUUUCAUGACCAACCUUUGCGUACAACGGAGUCAGAUGAAGAAAAGUAUUGUUUAGAAAGUCGGUCCUGACAAUCGCAGCCUGGUUUUGUCGCUUUUAUCCGACUAUUUUUAAGCCAGAGGCGACCAUGUUUGUUUUAGUUCCAGCGUCAUGUAGCUGCGACAACAGACAUUUUCCAGGAUUUGGAUUUAAUAGUUACAAGAACAGCAUCCCUCCAACCACCAUACUCAGUCACCUCCAUGAAAAGCUGCAUGAAUCCACAGGGAAGUGUUUUGUGGACACGGCCUUCUGGGGAGGUGUGGUACCUGAAAAUCGGGUACAGUAGGCUGACAGAUUUGUGGCCGGAUUCAGGCCGGAGUCGCUGGCUUCAAGUGUUUCCUCAUCCACAGCGGCAUGGAGGAGUUUCCACAUGUGACUGAGAGUGACCUCCACAUGGCCAUGAAGCAGCUGCAGGGCACAGGAAGUGUUCUCCUGUUUCAUGCAGAGAAAGAUCUUCAGCUAAGACCAGAGGAGACCAGCGGUAAGAAUCAUUUUUACUGUCCUCCCACUAGCUUCAUGAUCCAGUGUAGAGAAGUAAUGACAUUAGAGUUAUCAGUUAAAGCUGGUCCACCGCUUUGUUUAUCAAGUUAAAAACCUCAUUAAAAAACAUUUAGGACACAAAUUUGUGGCAUUGCGUGUCGUGCGGUAUGAAUGCGGCAUCUGACGUAAGAGAGAGUAAUGACCCACCUUAUGUCAAAAGUGAUUGAUGGCCCUGUCAGCCAAUCAGAAUCGAUAACGCCCCUAAGCCCCUCCCCUAGUCCCGCCUCCAAGCCCCUCCCCUAUGACAUCACAGCCAAUCAGAAUCGACUACUUCACU